rnacentral:rRNA from 1 species
CGGGGGCACGGGGGGCCUACGGGAGGCAGCAGUGGGGAAUUUUGCGCAAUGGACGAAAGUCUGACGCAGCGACGCCGCGUGAGCGAUGAAGGCCUUCGGGUUGUAAAGCUUCUGUGGAAGGGGACGAAUAAACCAGUGUUAACAGUACUGGCGAUGACGGUACCCUUUUAGCAAGCACCGGCUAACU